rnacentral:lncRNA from 1 species
CAACUGUGUCCGGCUUGUGGUUCCAGACGGAAACGCCUCCGGGCUCCCUGGCCCGGGGGACAAGGGUUCGAAACUUCAACAGUCGCGAGGGCAAGGACAGAACUACCAACUCCCGCUCGGAUGCCCGGGACCUGCUCUUCCAAGCCCGCUCCGGUUUCUCCAAAGGACGCGCGGCACAGCCCAUGCGCCCCCGGCACUCCACUCCACUCCUCUAUGGUUUCCCCCAAACUCUUCCCGGGGAGCCCCACAAAGCACAGACGGCGCCCUGAAACUCGCCAGGCACUCGCCAGCCAUCCCCACCUCCGCCUCUCGAACCCUCCUUGUCGCGUUCUUCCCGCCCCGCACCUUUCUCCUCGCGUUUCUGGGAAGUCAGAAGCAAACCACGAGAAAAUGCCUUCGCAAGGAGCCUCCCUACACCCGCCCUGUCACUGAAACAAAAGCGUAGGGAGGAGGGAGGUGGGAGAGGAGGCGGGAGGAAGGUUUAGAAAGACGAUGGGGACAGCAGUAGGAAGGAGCUGGGGAGGGGGGUCAAGGUGGCAAGCAGAGCUGGGGGCCCAGAGUCCGCUCCCGUGCCGCGCGGCGAGUCGCUUACAUGCCCAGGUCGCUGUAGGUGUUGAAGAACUCCAUCUGAUUGCACGCCUGAAUCCAGCCCACCACCCAGAUGGUUCAGGUGGUUUUACAGGAACAACACUAACAAAGUCCUCUGGAGACCCUUUCUUGGAUCCCGCUCCACCUUCUCAGGAGGUUUAUGAUCACCUCGGAGUUGUUCAGCAAUGAGACACUUGCCUUGAACAAAAAGGUUUCAAGGACGUAGAAGAGCUCCUUUUGAAAACUAUGUUGCAGCCUGGAGGAGAAAGGUGGUACACUUGGUAUAGGCCGGUUGGUCCCCUGAACUUCUCCUAGAGACUCUUCCUGGCAGAGCCUGAAUGUAAGGAAACUGUCAGCCAUCAAAAAAGGCAGUGAAGUCAAUUAAAAAUCAAGUGUAAACUCAUGCCUUCUCUGGUUCUUCUCAUGCAUGCUAUUUACAUCUUACCACCUGCACUGUAAACUCCAAGUGGGCAGGGAUGGGCCCUACAUUUGUUCGGUGUCACAGGCUGCCUCUCUUUCACUUCUCUGUGUUCAAUAUGUAUUUAGUAUUUUAUUCAAUGAAUGGAAAGAUGAAAUUAUUUUUAUAUUUUCUGUAGUACGAACUCAGGAGUAUACCUUCUCCUAGGUCUGAAAAGCAGACAGACAAAAUGUGGCUUAAAUAAUAAAACCUAUUCCUAGCUGGUCUAGUCGCGCUAAUCCAGAGAUGAGCACCCAUUGGAGGCUAAGAAGGUUGGCCACACGGCAUUCCUUUGCGCACCUUUGGAUUGCUGCCUCCUUGAGCCCGCAAAUCUCUGCUCUGCGAUAAUCCUACUCUCUUUAUUGGAGCUGAUGGCAACUCUAAGAAAAAAAUGGUUAACACUCCUGAAGAUUAAAUUCUCUCACGAAGAAAAAAUACUCUGGGUGCUAAUAACGUGAAAAAAAAGCAGAGGACAUUCUCAGAAAUGUUCCCACCUGUUCCCAACCAGGCUGUCUGUUUUUAUAUGCUUUCAGUCCUCUCCUUCUGAUCAUUAAUGAGGUUAUUAAGAUGGACUGAUCUCCUCCUGUUCAGGCCUGCAUGGAGACUUUGCUACCUUGCAGUAAUUUCUGUUCCGUGGAGCCCCAAAUAAGCUUAGGGCACAUAGCAAAUUAGAUUUCAGGAGACAAUGGAUCUUAGAAGCAACAAAAUCCAAAUAAAUGAUAUUUACUGCCCUUGAGAAAGGACACUGCAUUCUUCCUCAUAUGUAGCUGUGCUUCCUUCAAUCUAUUUCAGGGUGGCUUAGUGCAGGGGGAGGGAUAAAAAAUGGGGUAGGCACCCUUCUAUUUAAGGGUGGGGCAGCUUGCUGCGCCAUCUCUCAGUUACUGAGUUGGUAAUUGGCUGGCCACAGGCCUCAGACUUCCCAUUUUUCCUUAUACCCUCCUGCUCUUCUAGGUCACGUCUCCUCAUUUCUGUAGCUCCUUGGUGUCAGUAGUCAAUGACAUUGUAUUACAGUCAGAACAGAAUGGGCUUAAUUUACAGACCCACAGAGCUGACCAACUGGCACAUCUCAAGCCUAUACAGAACAAAAUUUUAAAUCCUUAAGAAUCAGAGAUUCUUGAAUUGUGGUGGUUGGGGAGGGGUAUGGUGGGUAAACAGUUCUGAGCCAACCUGCUUAGAACUCAAAUCCCACAGUCAGCUCUCAUAUAAUUUUCCCUCUUUUAAAUAUUUAGUCAUUUAUUUUUGAGUAAAUAAUAUAUGAGCAUGGUACAAAGGUAAGAAUGUUCAAAAAGGCUGAUGGUAAAUGGUAGGACGGUCUCUCAUUCUUGCACUUGCCACUUGGUUUCUUUCUCCAAAGGCAAUUGCUAGUAUAAGGUUCUUGUGUGUCCUGAUACUCAUGUACACUAUGCACAUGCAAAAACAUGUGUAUAUGUUUGUUAUUGCUUAAAAAACCAAAUGUUGGAAAUCUGAACUAACUCUUUCACACUCUGGUAUUUUUAGUUUAACAAUAUAUGUGUUGUGUCUUGGAAAUUAGUUCAUAUCAAUUCAUAUUGAGCUGUCUCAUUCUUUUUUUAAUGGUCAUAUACAGUAGUAUUCAAUUAUAAGAAUAUAUCCUAAUACUUUUUAAAAAUUUCUCAUUGAUAGUUCUUUACAUAGCUUCCAAAGGAUUGUUUUUACAAACAAAGCUUUAAUGAAUAAGGUGUACAUCAUUGACAUGUUUGCUGUCAUAUAUGCAGAAUAAAGUACCAAAAGUAAAAAUUGCUGAGUCAAAGGAUCUAUGUCUUUAUAAUUUUGAUAGAUAUUGCCAGGUUGCUUUUAAUACAGAUUUUACCAAUUUACAUUACCACCAGCUAUGCAAGAUGAAUGUCUG